GAUGAACGCUGGCGGCGUGCCUAAUACAUGCAAGUCGAGCGAACGGACGAGAAGCUUGCUUCUCUGAUGUUAGCGGCGGACGGGUGAGUAACACGUGGAUAACCUACCUAUAAGACUGGGAUAACUUCGGGAAACCGGAGCUAAUACCGGAUAAUAUUUUGAACCGCAUGGUUCAAAAGUGAAAGACGGUCUUGCUGUCACUUAUAGAUGGAUCCGCGCUGCAUUAGCUAGUUGGUAAGGUAACGGCUUACCAAGGCAACGAUGCAUAGCCGACCUGAGAGGGUGAUCGGCCACACUGGAACUGAGACACGGUCCAGACUCCUACGGGAGGCAGCAGUAGGGAAUCUUCCGCAAUGGGCGAAAGCCUGACGGAGCAACGCCGCGUGAGUGAUGAAGGUCUUCGGAUCGUAAAACUCUGUUAUUAGGGAAGAACAUAUGUGUAAGUAACUGUGCACAUCUUGACGGUACCUAAUCAGAAAGCCACGGCUAACUACGUGCCAGCAGCCGCGGUAAUACGUAGGUGGCAAGCGUUAUCCGGAAUUAUUGGGCGUAAAGCGCGCGUAGGCGGUUUUUUAAGUCUGAUGUGAAAGCCCACGGCUCAACCGUGGAGGGUCAUUGGAAACUGAAAAACUUGAGUGCAGAAGAGGAAAGUGGAAUUCCAUGUGUAGCGGUGAAAUGCGCAGAGAUAUGGAGGAACACCAGUGGCGAAGGCGACUUUCUGGUCUGUAACUGACGCUGAUGUGCGAAAGCGUGGGGAUCAAACAGGAUUAGAUACCCUGGUAGUCCACGCCGUAAACGAUGAGUGCUAAGUGUUAGGGGGUUUCCGCCCCUUAGUGCUGCAGCUAACGCAUUAAGCACUCCGCCUGGGGAGUACGACCGCAAGGUUGAAACUCAAAGGAAUUGACGGGGACCCGCACAAGCGGUGGAGCAUGUGGUUUAAUUCGAAGCAACGCGAAGAACCUUACCAAAUCUUGACAUCCUUUGACAACUCUAGAGAUAGAGCCUUCCCCUUCGGGGGACAAAGUGACAGGUGGUGCAUGGUUGUCGUCAGCUCGUGUCGUGAGAUGUUGGGUUAAGUCCCGCAACGAGCGCAACCCUUAAGCUUAGUUGCCAUCAUUAAGUUGGGCACUCUAAGUUGACUGCCGGUGACAAACCGGAGGAAGGUGGGGAUGACGUCAAAUCAUCAUGCCCCUUAUGAUUUGGGCUACACACGUGCUACAAUGGACAAUACAAAGGGCAGCGAAACCGCGAGGUCAAGCAAAUCCCAUAAAGUUGUUCUCAGUUCGGAUUGUAGUCUGCAACUCGACUACAUGAAGCUGGAAUCGCUAGUAAUCGUAGAUCAGCAUGCUACGGUGAAUACGUUCCCGGGUCU
rnacentral:rRNA from 1 species